rnacentral:rRNA from 1 species
UACGGAGGGGGCUAGCGUUGUUCGGAAUUACUAGGCGUAAAGCGCACGUAGGCGGCUUUGUAAGUUAGAGGUGAAAGCCCCGGGCUCAACCUGGGAAUUGCAUUCGAGACUGAAUAGCUAGGGUACGGUAGAGGGAAGUGGAAUUUCCGGUGUAGCGGUGAAAUGCGUAGAUAUCGGAAGGAACAUCAGUGGCGAAAGCGACUUCCUGGACCAGUACCGACGUUCAGGCACGAAAGCGUGGGGAGCAAACAGG